CUCCGCGCUGAACCGCAAGGACUUCAAGCCUACGGAACACACCCGGGUGUGCUCGGCGCAUUUCGUGACUGGGAAAAAGACGGGCGAGGAUAUCGUGCCGCAGCUUAACCUCGGGUAUGCGCGGAAGGUUGUCGUUGGGAGACGCCGUUUGGUGCGUGACGCAAGUGAGAAACCGCUGAUCACUAAGAAGCAAAGACUC